rnacentral:rRNA from 1 species
CUGCAGCCCGAGUAGUGAUCGUUAUUAUUGGGCCUAAAACGUUCGUAGCCGGUUUGGUAAAUGCCUGGGUAAAUCGUGUAGCUUAACGAUACGAAUACCGGGUAGACUGCUAAACUUGGGACCGGGAGAGGCUAGAGGUACUCCUGGGGUAGAGGUGAAAUUCUGUAAUCCUGGGGGGACCACCAGUGGCGAAGGCGUCUAGCUAGAACGGGUCUGACGGUGAGGGACGAAGCCCUGGGGCGCAAACCGGAUUAGAUACCCGAGUAGUCC